AUACGGAGGGUGCAAGCGUUGUUCGGAAUUACUGGGCGUAAAGCGUGUCUAGGUGGAAACGUAAGUCAUGUGUGAAAGACCUUGGCUCAACCAAGGAAUUGCGCCUGAAACUGCGUAUCUUGAGUGACGGAGAGGUGAGUGGAAUUCCUAGUGUAGCAGCGAAAUGCGUUGAUAUUAGGAAGAACACCAAUUGCGAAGGCAGCUCACUGGCCGUCUACUGACACUGAAGCACGAAAGCGUGGGGAGCAAACAGGAUUAGAAACCCCUGUAGUCC
rnacentral:rRNA from 1 species